GCCAACACAGAAAAGCCCACGUGCAGCUCUUUCUGCGGCUGGCCCAGCCUGGGUGGCUACUGUCUGCCUUUCUGAUAGACAGGGAACGUUGGGAAGAGACUCGGGGCAGAACCUCCCUACUAGUAGCAAAAACGGUGACAGUUUUUCACAUUUUAAAAAUAACACUUUUCUUCCAGAGUUCCCUGCUCUGAGUUAUCUUCUGGUGUAUGACGGCAAGAGCCUUCACUUGCCGUGACUGGGGAUGGUCUCCAUGCCUCUCCUCUGACCCACUCCUGCCGUGGGCAGCCUGGGUCUCUCCCCUCCCCCAAAAGUGUGGGCUCCGGCAGAAGGUGUGAAAGGAGAGGGCUACAGCCAAAGUGAGGUUUCCAGACCCUUGUUACUCUGCCCCCACCCUUGUUACCACAGAUGAUCACAGCAGUUUUAUGGCAGGCCUCCUACAGAAUCACCACAGAGAAGUGACAAUCUGGAAAAUCACAGGCAAAUUGUAGCUAUGGACUGUGGAAUUUAACACGUCAUCUCUUUCCAGCGGGGCUGAGCAACAGCAAGGAAGAGGUUAAAGCCUUCUCACUUGAGCAGCCUUUGUUCUCGGGGCAGCUGCCUGCACUGAGCUCUGAGGCCUUUGAAGUGGACCAGAGAGUUCAGGCCAGGCUCCCCAGGACCCCCUACCUGUCCACACACUCAGGCUCCAGAAACUUGACAACUUUUGGCAGUGACUGAAUACUUUCAUGAAGAGGCAUUUUUAGUUUUUUUACUAACACAAGAAAUUUUACCUAUCAAUUGCCCUGGAAAUAGUGACAACUUUCUACUUGAACUACUUUAAUAUCUUCAAGAAAUACCAAAAGAGGAGUUGAAGGUAGGCAAAACCCAGGAGAAAUGUGCUGCCCCAAACUCCCUCACAGUAAUUACAACUGAAAAGGUGGAUUACUUGGUCUGAAAAGCAGAUUCCAGUCCUGAUGAGAGCAGUGUGUGUGCAUGUGUGUAUAACAUACACUUUAUACUGGAAUCUCUGAAAUUAGAAUACACACAGGCACCACUAAUAUCACUUUUGUAACUACUUCCGCAUGGAAGGCAGAAUGCAAAUGAAAUAUAGCAUCCUUGCUUCUGUCUUGCAAGAACGGCUUAAUUUCUCCCACUCUCAUUCCUAAACUCUUAAAUCUGACACAAACUCAGCAUUUAACAUCUCAAUUUUGCCUUUAACCUAAGAGUCUCCCAGAGCUACUUUCUGGCCCCAAACCCACACGCAUCACCACUCUUUGAUUUCUGUGUUACUGUUAUGAUCUACUCCAAUAAAGCAGGGAUCUUCUUCAAAGACCUAUUUAUGAAACUAGGGCACAGCCUUGAAGUGGUGUUAGGCUCCAGCUGCUGAGGUCAUUACAGUUUUAUUGUUUCUAAGUGACCAGAACAGAAGUGGUAAAACAUGCUCCCUUAGGCCUUGCACCCAGACUGACAAACAUUCCUUCGAGUUCCAAAUCAUUCCUGAAAUUCAAAGUGGUCCUGUAGGUGGUGAGAAGGGAACCCUACACCUGGAGUUCACGCCAUGUAGCCCAACUGUCUCCUCCUUUUUCUGGAGGGCUGUGGGCUCCGCAGAGCCCGGGAGAGCCCACUUCACUUAAUAGUGACUUAGGAACGAGGCGACAGAGACAGGUGUGGAGCUGCUCUCCUGGUCACGCGUGCUUCACUCAGCAGGGCCAGCGUGCCCGCACUGCUCCUGUGCCCACUGCUCACAUCUCCUCCGUGCUCCUUUCUGGGUCAGGAAGAGCUACUAACUCACUUUGGUUACUUGGCUUUUUAUUUAUAUUUGUCAAUGACAUCCUAAAGAAAUGUAUGUCAGAAAUGAAGCUUGUGCUAAAGUGGUACUUACAGGUGUGCGUACUAGAUUUAAAAGCAAAUUACUGGGCAUGCUAUGGAAAGCUUGGCAAAAUGCAGAGUCUAGGGAGGACCUCUGCCACCCCCACAGCCUUGCGGACCAGCUCAGGGAUUCGGGAAUCUACAGGAAGCAAAUAUUAAAGCAAGACUAGAUUUAAUAUUUAAUAUUUAAGAGGGCGCACAAACAGGGGCCUUCGUCUGCUGAGCCUGCCUCCUUAGGUCCAUCCUGGGACGUGCACAGCACCCUCAGCAGUGGGAACACAGCAAAGAUGAUGAGGGACUGAAGCGUGGGACACGCAGGGUGCAGGGCCCACAGAGCCCAGGGCGCAGGGAGUCCUGAGGGAGGAUGGCAUGUUCGGGGAAGAGAGAGUGCCUCUUGGGGAGGCCUGUGGCCACUCAUGCAUCCAAAGCCACACAGAUGCAGGCUGCGGAGGCAGCCCUGGGUUGUUUACUACAGGCUGAGUAACCCCUUUCUGAAAUGCUUGGAACCAGAAGUAGUUCAGGUUUCAGAUUUUUUUCAGAUUUUGGAAUAUCUGCAUUAUACUUACCGGGGUUCAGCAACCCUAAUCUGAAUAUCCGAAAUUCCAAAAUGCUUCAAGGAGCAUUUCCUUUGAGUGUCCUGUUGGUGGGCAAAAAUUCUGGACUGUGGAGCAUUCUGGAUCUCAGACUUGGGAUACUCAGCCUGUAUAAAUUUUCUGCUUCCUAUCAGUAGCUUAUACUAUUACAGGCAGAAAGAAGUAAGAAAUAAGCACUCCUGGAGAUACUGGCGGUGCCUGUCCUGGCUCCUGCAGGGGACAGCGGCCUUUGCUCCCUCCCUCCCUGCUCCCUGGCCCUUUCUGUCAGCUUCUAUCCUCAGAGCCUCUCUUCUCUGCCAGCUUCUGGACGGCCUCCUUCUCCAGCUCAGUCCUGAUGGGACACUGCCUCUGUCUGUCUCCUGCCAGCCCCCCAUGUCCUGUCACCCCCAAACCUGUGUCCAUCUGAGGGCUCUCUCCUCACCCACACACCAGCUGCUGAAUGCCACUUGGAGACCCCUCAGGCUUAGCUCAGCCUGCCCCAAGGAGCUGCCAUCAGGCAGGACGAGGAAACCAUGGUGGCCUCUGGACUUCUGGCAAGACCGGGGCGACUGGGGGGUUCCUGUUACUGGAUGGCCGAGGGAUCUGCUGCAGAGGCACACAGGGUUCCAAGAGUGAGACUUUCCCCUGGCAGGGACCCAGGGCUGAGGAUGACUAGCUACAAUUCCGCCUAUGGAAAGUCAUUAUGCUGUUUUAAUUUGCAUGAGGAUGAGAAAUUUCUGGACACUGUUCUCUGCUAACAGAAUCGGAAGAAAGCUGCUUCCUGUCAAUCCAAGGAAGGGGGUUCUUUUGGUCUAGUUUAAAGAUGCUCCUGUAGUCUCUGUCGUCACAUGAAAGAAAGAAGCCAAUGUGCAUGGCAUCCUUCCUGGCACUUGACCUGGGGGCCAUGCUCUGGGGGAGCCCUGGGAGAAGCAGAUGGCUCUGCUCCCGCCAGGCCACACCUGCAGGCUUUGGUGAUGUUCCUGCUUCACUUCAUUCUGCAAGAACAGCGAUACUGAGGUAGGACGGACAUUGCUUUAUUUUUAACAGAAAAAACUCUUUAACAAAAUAGUUUGACAUAAAUAUUAAGAGAAAUGUUAGAAUUAAUGCCAGGAAAGGAAAAACUUGGUUUUGGAAGAAGUGGCCACGAUCCCCUCUGCCUGGAUGCUGGUGCUGUGGAGGUGCCGUCCCUGCAGCCGGUCAGGCCACACUGAUCAGAAGCCAGGGAGCAGCCCAGUGGUCCAGGGAUCCCCUAAGGGCAGGCCACUGGGAAGGGGCAGAACCAGCGCUUGAGACAAAGUCAGCCUGUCUGAAGCUACCACAGCAGGCCGCCUCUGGAAGAAAAUGAAAGAAAUAAAGAAAAGCCUGUGACUCUUAUCAUUCCCAGAGGAGUCAGUACCAAACAGGUCCCACUCCACCUGCCUUCUGAGAUCAGGGCAGGAUGGGGCAUGUUCUUGAUGAUACAUCUGUAAAUGACAUAGUUCUACCUUCCCCACUCACUCCUAAGGGUUAUGACAUAGUUCUACCUUCCUCACUCACUCCUAAGAGUUAUGACAUAGUUCUACCUUUCCCACUCACUUCUAAGAGUUAUGACAUAGUUCUACCUUCCCCACUCACUCCUAAGUUAUGACAUAGUUCUACCUUCCCCACUCACUCCUAAGGGUUAUGACAUAGUUCUACCUUUCUCACUCACUCCUAAGAGUUAUGACAUAGUUCUACCUUCCCCACUCACUACUAAGAGUUAUGACAUAGUUCUACCUUUCUCACUCACUCCUAAGAGUUAUGACAUAGUUCUACCUUUCCCACUCACUUCUAAGAGUUAUGACAUAGUUCUACCUUCCCCACUCACUCCUAAGUUAUGACAUAGUUCUACCUUUCUCACUCACUCCUAAGAGUUAUGACAUAGUUCUACCUUCCCCACUCACUCCUAAGAGUUAUGACAUAGUUCUACCUUCCCCACUCACUCCUAAGAGUUAUGACAUAGUUCUACCUUUCCCACUCACUCCUAAGAGUUAUGACAUAGUUCUACCUUUCCCACUCACUCCUAAGAGUUAUGACAUAGUUCUACCUUUCUCACUCACUCCUAAGGGUUAUGACAUAGUUCUACCUUUCCCACUCACUCCUAAGUUAUGACAUAGUUCUACCUUUCCCACUCACUUCUAAGAGUUAUGACAUAGUUCUACCUUCCCCACUCACUCCUAAGAGUUAUGACAUAGUUCUACCUUCCCCACUCACUCCUAAGGCUUAUGACGUAGUUCUACCUUUCUCACUCACUCCUAAGAGUUAUGACAUAGUUCUACCUUCCCCACUCACUCCUAAGAGUUAUGACAUAGUUCUACCUUCCCCACUCACUCCUAAGAGUUAUGACAUAGUUCUACCUUUCCCACUCACUCCGAAGAGUUAAGACAUAGUUCUACCUUCCCCACUCACUCCUAAGGCUUAUGACAUAGUUCUACCUUUCUCACUCACUCCUAAGAGUUAUGACAUAGUUCUACCUUCCCCACUCACUCCUAAGAGUUAUGACAUAGUUCUACCUUCCCCACUCACUCCUAAGGCUUAUGACAUAGUUCUACCUUUCUCACUCACUCCUAAGAGUUAUGACAUAGUUCUACCUUCCCCACUCACUCCUAAGAGUUAUGACAUAGUUCUACCUUUCCCACUCACUCCUAAGAGUUAUGACAUAGUUCUACCUUCCUUAUUGACUCCUAAGAGUUACACUUUACUAAUGUCUCACCCACCAUUCAAUAAAUAGAAUAGAAAGUCACAGAAUUCCAGAGCUAGAAAGGACACUCAAGGUUAUCCAGGCCAGAUGCCUGAUGGAAAGGUUUCAGUGCGUUGCCUGUGGCGAUGAGUCCCAUCAGUGGGAGGCCUGAUGGCACACUCUUUACAGUUUCCUCUGUGACAGGCAGGCACACCUGUCUGCAGAACCCGUAGCCUCUUUCCCAUCCUCCCAUCUGGACUGUGGACUCUCUUGACUAUCCCCUCUCCACCUUCCUGAGGCCCAGGGGGAAGAAAGGGGGCAACCCCAAGCCAAAGAGGGUAAGCAGAAGGUCUCCUUUCUUACCACGAGGCUAGGAGUAGGGGACAUGACAGCACGCCCUGCCCAGUCAGUCUGCCCGAAAGAGAGGCUGUGGCUCUUCCCUCCCCUGCCAGCCUGCCUUACUGGGUCAGGUGGGUUCUGCUGAAUCCUCACCUAGAGGGGCCAACAGCUUUCAUGUCAUCAAGGUUGGCCUGGCAUUUACGGCCAGGCUGGUCACGGAUCUCCAGGGUGGGAAGGUGUGGAUGGAUGAGGCUGGGAUGCCCGCUUCACCCAGUAGCUUUACUCCACAUCAGUCAACACCAAUAUUUCCGACAUUACUAAACCCUAGAUCUAGACCAAGCUGUGUGCCAUCAUCAGCUGGAUGUGGUCGGUCUGCAGACCUUGAGCAUUUCUGCGGGAUGUGGUCAAUGAGGUCUCACCACCUGCUGCAAUCACCUGGGUCAAGCUUCUCGGUCGGGGUGGACUCCAGAUUCACACAGAGCUGCAGGGCCCUCCAAGUCUAGCCCACCUGACCUCGUGACAGCUCCGACUGGCCCCUCUGCCCCCAAAUCUGGCCCACAGGCAUCUGGCAUCAGCUCCCACCCUCUCAUCAGGCCUUUGCUUAAAUAUCACCUUGUCAAGGAGAUCUCAGAUUUGCUAUUUCAAGCAGCAGAGAGAGUGAGGGAGGGAUGGAGGGGGAACAUAAGCUCUACCCACCCAUUUGGACCUAAGUGCUCUGCACACGCUCACCUUCCUCUUGGGAGCACCCUCACCAUGGCUCAUGU
rnacentral:lncRNA from 10 species